rnacentral:rRNA from 1 species
CCCUUAGAUGUCCUGGGCUGCACGCGCGCUACACUGAUGUGUCCAGUAAGCACCUAACCUCUUCCGAAAGGAACGGGUAACCUUUGCAAAGCACAUCGUGAUGGGGAUAGAUUAUUGCAAUUAUUAGUCUUGAACGAGGAAUUCCUAGUAAGCACAAGUCAUCAGCUUGUGUUGAUUACGUCCCUGCCCUUUGUACACACCGCCCGUCGCUUCUACCGAUUGGACGCUGCGGUGAAGACCUGGGAUUGAGAAGGGGGGUUUGGAGGUUUUCGGAUUUCCAGCCCCUCGUCCCGAGAACUCGUCUGAACCCCAUCGUCUAGAGGAAGAAGAAGUCGUAACA